GUAGGGAAUCUUCCACAAUGGACGCAAGUCUGAUGGAGCAACGCCGCGUGAGUGAAGAAGGUCUUCGGAUCGUAAAACUCUGUUGUUAGAGAAGAACACGAGUGAGAGUAACUGUUCAUUCGAUGACGGUAUCUAACCAGCAAGUCACGGCUAACUACGUGCCAGCAGCCGCGGUAAUACGUAGGUGGCAAGCGUUGUCCGGAUUUAUUGGGCGUAAAGGGAACGCAGGCGGUCUUUUAAGUCUGAUGUGAAAGCCUUCGGCUUAACCGGAGUAGUGCAUUGGAAACUGGAAGACUUGAGUGCAGAAGAGGAGAGUGGAACUCCAUGUGUAGCGGUGAAAUGCGUAGAUAUAUGGAAGAACACCAGUGGCGAAAGCGGCUCUCUGGUCUGUAACUGACGCUGAGGUUCGAAAGCGUGGGUAGCAAACAGGAUUAGAAACCCCAGUAGUCC
rnacentral:rRNA from 1 species